CCUUUUAUAUCGCUGAGACAGAAUGAAUUUCUGUGCGGGGGAACCAAUUCGAUCGCAACUUGAUCUCGGGGUGAAUCUUCAUUUUUGAAGAAGGGGUACUCUCCAUCCCUAAUCCGACAGCUAACCUCGUAAGCGUAGAAAAGAGAGAAA
rnacentral:sRNA from 1 species